UCAUAAACCGGAGGAAGGUGGGGAUGACGUCAAGUCAGCAUGGCCUUUAUAUCCUGGGCUACACACACGCUACAAUGGGAAGGGACAAUAGGUUGCGAAGCCGCGAGGUGGAGCCAAUCCAGCAAAACUUCCCUCAGUUCAGAUUGCAGGCUGCAACUCGCCUGCAUGAAGUUGGAGUUGCUAGUAAACGCAGGUCAGCCAUACUGCGUUGAAUACGUUCCCGGGGCUU
rnacentral:rRNA from 1 species